UUGUAACUUGCCCUUCAGAACAACUGUGUUGGCAGGCACUAUGCAAUGCGCAGAAGAGCUGUUAUAUGUGCUCUUGAAACUCUGCAAACCAACACAGAGGUUCGAGUUUAAAUAAAAUCAUGUUCAAAUCACCACACUAACAACACAAUACAACAGAACACCUUAUCUACGGAUCGGUUGUAGUUAAUUGACAUCCGAUCACACCGUAAGCCUUUCAGGCUCCGCUGGGUGUAAAUUGCUGCUCGAGGAACGACAAAAUCUGCCAUGAAAAUACAGUGAAGGGUCACCACACACAUCCGACUAAGUAAUUAGAUCCCGAUGCGAAGUCACUCAAUCUCACGUUAACACCUUGUCGGACUAACGAGAGAGCGCCUGCGAUAUGGAUAUAGCUUGUACCUACUUGGAUCACUGCAUCAGUUUCUGGUUAAUCGUUAAGCAGAGUACAUCUGAAAACACGAUAACAGUAGUGUAACACGUGAUCACAGUACCUAGGAAAUUAUAUCUAGUGAUUUUUUCUCUGACCGGAAACGAGUGAAUCGUUUGAGGUUCCCUAGAUUGGAGUGUGCAUGGCCUGGCCCAGGCGGCCAUGGUACCAAUACUAAGGGCAAUACCCCAGCAUUUGUGCCGCUUUCAAAGCAACCUAGCAACUACAACCUAGACUCCACAGAACGUCAUUUAGAUAUCACGAGCCGAUUGCAGCGUGCCUCCGAAUGUUUACGCAGGUGGAGAACUUGUUUAAGUUUGGUGAAGCGUCCAGUAGAUUUUCGAAGAAGCUGUACAAUUCAGUGUUAAUUUAGUAUUGUAGUAAUUGUAAUUUAAUAUUAUAUCAUUCAUUAAGACUUUGGGUCAGAUGAAAAUUUUUAACAAAUAAACAAAUAAACAAAUAAACAAAUACAUCAUGGAGCG